UGGAGGGCAAGUCUGGUGCCAGCAGCCGCGGUAAUUCCAGCUCCAAUAGCGUAUAUUAAAGUUGUUGCAGUUAAAAAGCUCGUAGUUGAAUUUUGGGUCUGGCCGGGCGGUCCGCCCUCUGGGUGAGCACUGUUCCGACGUCGGGCCUAUCCUUCUGGUGAGUCGGCAUGUCCUUUAUUGGGUGUGUCGGGGAACCAGGACCAUUACCUCGAAAAAAUUAGAGUGUUCAAAGCAGGCGUAUGCUCGGAUACAUUAGCAUGGAAUAAUGAAAUAGGACGCGUGGUGCUAUUUUGUUGGUUUCUAGAACCGCCGUAAUGAUUAAUAGGGAUAGUUGGGGGCAUUAGUAUUCAAUUGUCAGAGGUGAAAUUCUUGGAUUUAUUGAAGACUAACUUCUGCGAAAGCAUUUGCCAAGGAUGUUUUCAUUAAUCAAGAACGAAAGUUAGGGGAUCGAAGACGAUCAGAUACCGUCGUAGUCUUAACCAUAAACUAUGCCGACUAGGAAUCGGGCGAUGUUAUUCUCAUGACUCGCCCGGCGCCUUAUGGGAAAC
rnacentral:rRNA from 1 species